GGGUUAGUAGGUUGGCCAUGCCUCUGGUAUGUACUGGUCUCACUGAUUCCUCCUUCCUGAUGAGCCGUAAUGCCAUUAAUUUGGUGUUGCGGGGAACCAGGACUUUUACUGUGAAAAAAUUAGAGUGUUCAAAGCAAGCUAACGCUUGAAUACAUUAGCAUGGAAUAAUGAAAUAGGACGUUCGAUCCUAUUUUGUUGGUUUCUAGGAUUGACGUA
rnacentral:rRNA from 1 species